rnacentral:rRNA from 1 species
AGUGAACGCUGGCGGCGUGCUUAACACAUGCAAGUCGAACGGGAACGGAAUAUAGCUUGCUAUAUUUGUCAGCUAAGUGGCGCACGGGUGAGUAAUGUAUAGAUAACCUGCCCUUAAGAAAGGAAUAACAGUUGGAAACGACUGCUAAUGCCCUAUAUGCCUUUAAUACAUAAGUAUGCAAGGGAAACGCUUUAGUGCUUAAGGAUGGGUCUGUAUGGUAUCAGCCUGUUGGUGAGGUAAUGGCUCACCAAGGCUAUGACGCCUAACUGGUUUGAGAGGAUGAUCAGUCACACUGGAACUGGGACACGGUCCAGACCCCUACGGGAGGCAGCAGUGGGGAAUAUUGCACAAUGGACGAAAGUCUGAUGCAGCAACGCCGCGUGGAGGAUGACACAUUUCGGUGCGUAAACUCCUUUUAUAUAGGAAGAUAAUGACGGUACUAUAUGAAUAAGCACCGGCUAACUCCGUGCCAGCAGCCGCCGUAA